CGGGAGGCAGCAGUUAGGAAUCUUCCGCAAUGGACGAAAGUCUGACGGAGCGACGCCGCGUGGAGGAAGACGGCCUUCGGGUUGUAAACUCCUUUUAUAGGGGAAGAAUAAGGAUAUUAGGUAAUGAAUAUCCGAUGACGGUACCCUAUGAAUAAGCCACGGCUAACUCUGUGCCAGCAGCCGCGGUAAGACAGAGGUGGCAAACGUUAUCCGGAUUUACUGGGCGUAAAGGGUGUCUAGGCGGUUGAGUAUGUCUUCUGUGAAAGCCCCCUGCUUAACGGGGGGAGGCCAGAAGAAACUGCUCAACUAGAGGGUCGGAGGGGGAAGCGGUACUACCAGAGGAGCGGUGAAAUGCGUAGAGACUGGUAGGAACCUCGAUAGCGAAGGCAGCUUCCUGGCCGAUUCCUGACGCUGAAGCACGAAAGCGUGGGGAGCAAGCCGGAUUAGAUACCCGGGUAGUCCACACCCUAAAC
rnacentral:rRNA from 1 species